UCAGAGAUGGAACUUGGGUUAAAUGCAUGGAAUUUAUUCUUAGUUCUUUUCUUAAUUACGACUUUAUUUUUAUUUCUCUGGCAUUCUCUAGGGGAGGGGUUAGAGAAGAGAGGAAAAGGAAGGCAGGGAAAUAUAGAUUCAAUGCUUUUGUUUUGUUUCUGGGCUGCUUGCUAUCAGCAAAGUAGAGAGAUUUAACGGAUCUUGCCAAGAUGCAAACCUCUUUUCAAGGAAGCCAGAGCUCAGAAGACAUGGAACAAAUACAAUGAAAACAUACCAUGAGGUUGGAAAAUGUCCCCUGAAUAUUUAUGUCAAUGUCCUACCUUAGUGAAUAUUACUCAAUACUGGGGCUCCUUUGAAGCAUUUAGCACAUUUGUACCAUGAAGAUAUCGAGACUGCCAUCAUGCUCUGUUAUUCUAAGAGAAAGAUCAACAGCAACAACAGCGAUAAUAAUUUAAAAAGCAAAGGAAGAAAGUAAUCCAAGAAGACACACGCAGAGCCUCUAAGAUCAUGAAGGAUGAUUAAAAGAACAAGUUGGGGAUGAAAAUGGGGAAUGAAAAAGCUUAUCAUCAGGUUAGUUUUGGAAGGUCAUCUGUGGCCUGGGCGGUGCCCCAUUAGGCCUAGAUCAAAAGCAGGACAGUGAUGCAAUCGGCUGUUUGUAUACAGAUGCUGGCCUCCAAAUCCCCACAUGGGAACAUCUGCUGAGGACAACCACUUAACAAAUAAGCAGGCAAUUAGGUAGCAGAUCCGUCUGUGCCAAGAGCAUGGGACCACCAGCAGCGGGGACGCUGGAGCAGAGGGGAGGGCCAUACUGGGAAGAAUGCUUUUGUGUUCGUGCAGAGUCACACUAUCUAAGGCAGGAGAAAGGAGAGAGAACCAGGUGCAGAGGUCAGCAGAGAAGAUCAUUUUCUGCUUGUUCUGAGGCUAGCUCUGUGAUGCUCAGUCUUGGCUAUACAUUAUAAUCACUUGGAAAUUUUAAAUAUACUGAUGCCCGGGUUGUACAUCAAAACAAUUUAAUCAGAGUUUCUAAGAAGGGGGAUCAGCAUCAGUGUCUUUUUAAAGUUUCUUAAGGUUACCUAGGUAACUCCAAUAUAUAGGCAAGCUUGAAAAUCACUGGUUUGAAAUCUCUAAACCUACCACUGGAUUGGUGGCACAAUAAUAGCAAUCAUUAUAAAGCUGUAGUCUUUAUCCCACUAUGCUUCUCUUUAGAAUAACUGCAAAUAUGCAUUUUGAGUUUAUAAAAUUCUCAUUCCAGUGGUCUAGGACUCAAGCAAACUCCAUGUAUUCUCUAAAACAAAUGCUAUUUAUUCCUAUCUCUGCUACUAGCUGACCUUAAGCAAGCUGAUUCUCUCUCCAAUAUUUCACUACUUUAUCUCUUUUAUCAUAGAACUGUUUCUUGGGAAGCAAAAUGUGAUUUUGUAAAGUGUUUAGAGCAUGACUGCAACAUAAUAAAUUCUUAAUAAAUGUUGGUUGAA